rnacentral:rRNA from 1 species
UACGUAGGGGGCAAGCGUUGUCCGGAUUUACUGGGCGUAAAGAGCGUGUAGGCGGCCACGCAGGUCCGUUGUGAAAACUGGAGGCUCAACCUCCAGCUGUCGACGGAAACCGUAUGGCUAGAGUCCGGAAGAGGAGAGUGGAAUUCCUGGUGUAGCGGUGAAAUGCGCAGAUAUCAGGAAGAGCACCCGUGGCGAAGGCGGCUCUCUGGGACGGUACUGACGCUGAGACGCGAAAGCGUGGGGAGCGAACAGG